rnacentral:rRNA from 1 species
GGACUACAGGGGUAUCUAAUCCUGUUUGCUCCCCACGCUUUCGCGUCUCAGUGUCAGUACCGUCCCAGCGAGCUGCCUUCGCCAUCGGUGUUCUUCCUGAUAUCUGCGCAUUUCACCGCUACACCAGGAGUUCCACUCGCCCCUUCCGGACUCUAGCCCGACAGUAUCCACCGGCAUUCCAGGGUUGAGCCCUGGGCUUUCACAGCGGACUGAUCGGGCCACCUACACGCUCUUUACGCCCAAUGAUUCCGGACAACGCUUGCACCCUACGUAUUACCGCGGCGGCUGGCAC